UGUGGCGCCCGGCUGCUGCACCCCUUUUCUUUCACUUUCGGCUCUUUGCUUCAGCAAAUGAAGAACCAGAUGUUUCCAGUUCCCUCUGAUGGAGAGACACUGCCACGGUUGUGAGCAGGCAGCUGGACUGUCAGGCUAAACCUGUUUCACUCAAUACCUGGGGCACAGCUACACCAACACCUCCAAAAUCCAGCACUGUGAACUGCCCUUGCCAUGCUGUGAACCCUGGCUGCAAGCAAUGCAAAUAUUUUGAAUUGGAUUCCUGUGGCCUUUUCCCUGGCUGACACACAAGUCUUAAUGGUUCCCAAAAGAACACCAUGGUGCUGUUGUGCCCUGCCUGGGGACAGUGUUGAUGCCAUGAGUGCCUCUAGGCAGGCCAAGGCUUCCCAGGGCCAGGAGACAAGUUGGAAACUUCUGGUGCCCUUCAUCCACCAAGCUUAAAGGGGGACAGGACAGGAAGUGUGUCCUACCAGACUGCUCUGCUCCUACACCUUCCCAAAUGCUGCUAGCCCCUCCUUGCCAGGAAAAAGUUCUAUCUCCCAGGCUCACUGUGAAUAAAUUCUUCAUUUUGGCACGUUCAUGCA